UCUCUUCUGGCUUCUUUUCAGACUUUUCUUCAUCUUUAAUUUUUGAGUAGUAGUUUGAGAAUAUAUGCCUACAUAUAGAUUUUGUUUGGGCAUGUUUUUCUGCUGUGUUCUCUGACCUUCCUGGCACUGUGGUGGCCUCUGAGUUAUUUUAAUUUACUGGACUUAUAUUCCUUAUAUUCUAUUUUCUGUCUGGAAUUUCUAUUAUGAAUAAUCUACAACUUCUUUUAUUUUUAUUUUUUUAAGAUUUAUUUAUUUUUGUAUAUGAGUACACCAUUGCUCUCUUCAGACACACCAGAAGAGGGCAUCAGAUCUCAACAGAUGGUUGUGAGCCACCAUGUGGUUGCUGGGAAUUGAACUCAGGACCUCUGGAAGAGCAGUUGGCACUCUUACCACUGAGCCAUCUCUCCAGCCCAAUUUACAACUUCUAUAACUGCCUCAAAAAUUUUAAACAUUCUUCCCUUUUCAGCCUGUGCUUUUUAAAGUUGUGAAUAUUUCUAUUGAUACCUUUAUUCCUCUCGUGUGUGGACCUAGUGCUUACUGUCUUUGUGGUGUUCUCCAUCCAGUAUGCCUUGCGAUUU
rnacentral:lncRNA from 1 species